ensembl:lncRNA
UCAGUUGGUUUUCCAUCUGAAAAUUUUUGAUAUUUUCUUAGCAGCUCAUCUAACAUCAGACACUGGGUCUAAAAAUCACUGAGAUCAAACUUGAGUUGUUGCUCAUUUUCAACGGGUUUUGUAUUUGAUUAACAUUAAAAACCCUCUGGCCAUAGACCUCAAAUAAAUACCCCCUGCUGAUAUUAGCAGUAAAUGCAUAUAAUUUUAAUCAAGAUAAAAGUUAUUCUUGGGGAAGCUGGACAUUGAACACUGCAUCAACUGCUCAUAGCACUGCAUCUUUGGGCCCUUAAGCUUUCCUCAUUUUUUGCACGUUGCAGCACCAGCCUCUUCCUUACACUCUGUUGAGCACCAUGGGCACAAACUUUCCCUUACUGUCAGAGCAGGACCCCGCUGCCUUGCUGGUGGUGUGGUGCUCUGGUAUCCAAAGGGCUGUAUUGGCCAGGAGUCCAACCAUGUGAACACUUCGGGUUUUCUGUCAAUCUCUCCAAGAACAGGUGCCCAUCAUUUCAGUUUUCAAAACACCACUGCAUUCACCUGUUUAAUUCUGCACACCCAAUUUGUCUCUAGUUGCUUGCUUUCACUUAUACAUGUCUACUUCCUUCCUCCUGUUCUGUAUUCCCAGGUUUUGAACCGCUCUGAUGGAAGUCAGUAUCGCAUCUCUGAGUAACAGAAACUUCUCCUUUUAAUCUGUGCCACCAGUUUCCUUGUGAUUUUGCUUUUGGAUGUUGUGUUGAGGGACGUGGUUUAGCGAGAACCAUUGGUGAUGGGCGAAUGGUUGGACUGGAUGAUCCUGUGGGUCUUUUCCAGCCUUAGUGAUUCUAUGAUUCUAUGAUUUCCAUCACAGACACGUAACACUUGCAUCUGUUCACUUCUGCAUGGAAUUGUUGUAUUUAUAAAACAGUCCAUGCAAAGCUACACACGCUUUGACUGCAGUGCCCCACUUCUAUGGACUGCCUCUAUCUCUACAAAGCAGUUUGUAUAUCACCCAGCCAUUUCUCUGAUGAAGGAGGAAAGAAAAUACAGAAAUGAGGCAUGAGAAGAUGAAGCUCAUGCAGCCUGGGAGGGCUUCGUGCUCACUGAAGCACAGCGCUCUACAGAGCCUUGAACAAAUCCCUGUAUUUUCUUACACUACAUCUCUUUUGAAAGCAAAUAUUUCCGAAGAUCAAAAUGGAAGUAAUUUCUCAUUUUCAAGUUGCAAAUUAUUUGUGUGAAUGAAGAAAAUAUGGCUUCACCUUGUCAUCCUAGAUGAUAGGGGACAUUAUCUGCAUUACAGAAAGGAUCUCAGAAACGUACAGAUUAAGAUUGCCCUGCACAGAUUGGUUGCAGACUGUUCUACCAUGCCCAGACCUACGUGAUGUGCUAUUUAAAUACAUGACCUUGGGCUGAAAAUCUGCCCUCUGUGUACCGAGAGAGCAGCACAGAGGGAUGCGGACAUGCAGAGAACCGCUCUGUGCCCUGAGCCCCCAAAGGCAUCACACAGAGCCACAGAUCAGACAGCUCUGCUUCCACCCAGUUUAAAGGAGUCUGGAGAGCAGACACCUGGGGCAUCUGGGGAUCCCAUUCUGCCAGCUCCUCCCGGUGGUGAAAAAGAAGUAAAGCACAACGCAGCUGGCUGUUAUCUUGACGUUUUGCUCCGGGGAGAACUUAAUCAACUUUGCUUUCCUGGCGGUACCUCAACCACCUGAGCAGCCCCUUCACCUGCCAGCUCCGAGCACGGCCUCAGACCAGCAAACACGGGAUGCUCGAGAUGUAAUCUAAUUAAAAACACUGGUGAUGGAUGGGUGGCUGAAGAUGUCCCCAACCUUAGCAUCCUUUGCCUCCAUUUGGCUACCGCGUUUGGCAGCUCAGCAACAAAAACAAACCCUUCCUCCAGGCUGAUGGCUUUCAUGGUCAAAAGCUGAAAGAGCAUCUACCACCUCCUGCACGGGACUGUAGAGCACAGUCCACAAAGGAGUGUGCAGCUCAGCUCCACACACAGGCAGUGAUUUCAGGUCCCAGAGGCCAAAGUGAACCCUGCACAGGGGAACGCUGCAAUUAGCAUUGAAAAGCCUCUUAGAUACGAUGGCUUCUAACGCAUUUCACAGUAAAUUUAGAAAUCACUCUGCUUUGAAACCACCAGCAGCCUCAUCCACAGUGCAGCUAAGAGGAAAGCACUGUCUGCUUUGCCUUGAUCCAUCUCUAACCUGGCUUCUGAAUUUCUAAGGAUUAAUGCCAUCUAGUUCUCAUAAAAGCGACCUCAGAGUAGAGUUAUAAGUUUACAAGAGGGAAAUUCAUUUCCUUACAGAGAUUGUAAAAGAUUCCUAUUAGCUCAAGAUGUCAUACUUGCAAAUGUAUUAUCCCACUGUUGAGGAGAGGGAAGCAGUGACUCUGCAACUCCCUGAGAGGAGGCUGUGAACUGCAGUAGGACGUGCUGGCCUCAAGUUGUACCAGGGGAGGUUCACCUGGGUAUUAAGAAACAAUUCUUCUUCAGAAAGGCAGUAAUGCAUUGGCCCAGGCUGCCCAGGGAGGUGGGGAAGUCACCAUCUCUGGAGGUGUUCCAAAGCUGUGGAGGUGUGGCACUGAGGGACAAGAUCAGUGGCAUGGUGGGCAUGGGCUGAUGAUGACUAAAUGAUCUUAGAUGAUGACUAAAUGAUCUUAGAAGUCUGUUCCAACCUGAAUGACUUAAAGAGUCUAUGAGCCCAACAGACUUCCUGUCACUUUAAGGGCCCAAAAUAAAGACCAAGGCUUGAACUCCUCAUGCUGAGAGUGAGCAGAGGCAGUAAGGGGCGAAAAAUGCCGAGCUGAGGACAGUGCUGAAAUCAGGAGGGGCACAAAGCCUCCUGGUAGAGCUUCUCAUUUACUUGCAGGGAUCAGUGGCUGAACACAUCGGAGAGAACUUUUAAAUUUGUUUGCAAGACAAUGAAAACA